rnacentral:tRNA from 1 species
UCCGGGGUAGUGUAAUGGUAACACAGCGGCCUUUGACGUCGCACUUCGUGGUUCGAGUCCACGCCCCGGAACUA